GUCGAGCGGAUGACGGGAGCUGCCCNCCUGAUUCAGCGGCGGACGGGUGAGUAAUGCNUAGGAAUCUGCCUGUUAGUGGGGGACAACGUUUCGAAAGGAACGCUAAUACCGCAUACGUCCUACGGGAGAAAGCAGGGGACCUUCGGGCCUUGCGCUAUCAGAUGAGCCUAGGUCGGAUUAGCUAGUUGGUGGGGUAAUGGCUCACCAAGGCGACGAUCCGUAACUGGUCUGAGAGGAUGAUCAGUCACACUGGAACUGAGACACGGUCCAGACUCCUACGGGAGGCAGCAGUGGGGAAUAUUGGACAAUGGGCGAAAGCCUGAUCCAGCCAUGCCGCGUGUGUGAAGAAGGUCUUCGGAUUGUAAAGCACUUUAAGUUGGGAGGAAGGGCAGUAAGUUAAUACCUUGCUGUUUUGACGUUACCGACAGAAUAAGCACCGGCUAACUCUGUG
rnacentral:rRNA from 1 species